rnacentral:rRNA from 1 species
CCUACGGGAGGCAGCAGUGAGGAAUAUUGGUCAAUGGACGAGAGUCUGAACCAGCCAAGCCGCGUGAAGGAUGACUGCUCUAUGAGUUGUAAACUUCUUUUAUAAAGGGGUAAAACGAGGUACGUGUACCUUUUUGCAUGUACCUUAUGAAUAAGGAUCGGCUAACUCCGUGCCAGCAGCCGCGGUAAUACGGAGGAUCCGAGCGUUAUCCGGAUUUAUUGGGUUUAAAGGGAGCGUAGGUGGGUGGUUAAGUUAGAUGUGAAAGUGCGCGGCUCAACCGUGAAAUUGCAAUUGAUACUGGCAGUCUUGAGUGCAGAUGAGGUAGGCGGAAUUCAUGGUGUAGCGGUGAAAUGCUUAGAGAUCACGAAGAACCCCGAUUGCGAAGGCAGCAUACCGGGGGACAACUGACGCUGAGGCACGAAAGCGUGGGGAGCAAACAGGAUUAGAUACCCCGGUAGUC